rnacentral:rRNA from 1 species
UACGAACCGUACAAACGUUAUUCGGAAUCACUGGGCUUAAAGGGUGCGUAGGCGGCCAUGUAAGUGAGGUGUGAAAUCCCUCGGCUCAACCGAGGAACUGCGCUUCAUACUGCAUGGCUUGAGGGAGACAGGGGUAAGCGGAACUGAUGGUGGAGCGGUGAAAUGCGUUGAUAUCAUCAGGAACACCGGUGGCGAAAGCGGCUUACUGGGUCUCUUCUGACGCUGAGGUACGAAAGCUAGGGUAGCUAACUAG